rnacentral:lncRNA from 10 species
AAACUGUACACAUUAAAGGUGCAAUUCUUUAUCAAUCAUACCUCGACAAAGCUGUUACAAAAAGAAAAUGAUGUGGUCUUCCAGACACUAUCUGGAGCCACCCACCCACACGCUAACUUAUUGGAGUCUUUAGGGAUCCACUUGGUAAUCAAACAGCACAGUGAAUAGAGGAACUCUUUGGCAUAAGAGGAUCAUAGGUUCAAGUCCCAGCUCUACCACUUUCUGGCAGUGUAACCACUGGCCCUUACCCCAGAGCAAGUGUCAUUCUGUGCCACACAUAUGCAGCAAUAUAUGGACCCACGGGGUCGAAGCCAUCUCUCUGGCUAUGACUACGUUGGCUUCACCAAUUCCUACUUUGGCAACUAAUAAGCAGCUCCUCGUGGAUCGUAGAAAAUCUUAGUGUCGUGGGAAAUUUACUGGGG